rnacentral:rRNA from 1 species
UGAUAGUAAAAGUCGUAACAAGGUCUCCGUUGGUGAACCAGCGGAGGGAUCAUUACCGAGUUUACAACUCCCAAACCCAAUGUGAACGUUACCAAACUGUUGCCUCGGCGGGGUCACGCCCCGGGUGCGUCGCAGCCCCGGAACCAGGCGCCCGCCGGAGGAACCAACCAAACUCUUUCUGUAGUCCCCUCGCGGACGUAUUUCUUACAGCUCUGAGCAAAAAUUCAAAAUGAAUCAAAACUUUCAACAACGGAUCUCUUGGUUCUGGCAUCGAUGAAGAACGCAGCGAAAUGCGAUAAGUAAUGUGAAUUGCAGAAUUCAGUGAAUCAUCGAAUCUUUGAACGCACAUUGCGCCCGCCAGUAUUCUGGCGGGCAUGCCUGUCCGAGCGUCAUUUCAACCCUCGAACCCCUCCGGGGGAUCGGCGUUGGGGAUCGGGACCCCUCACACGGGUGCCGGCCCCUAAAUACAGUGGCGGUCUCGCCGCAGCCUCUCCUGCGCAGUAGUUUGCACAACUCGCACCGGGAGCGCGGCGCGUCCACGUCCGUAAAACACCCAACUUUCUGAAAAAUGUUUAACCCUUUCCGCG